rnacentral:rRNA from 1 species
CAGUCGCCGCGGUAAUACAAGGGGGGCAAGCGUUGUUCGGAAUUAUUGGGCGUAAAGGGUGCGUAGGCGGUUUGGCAAGUUUGGUGUGAAAUCUUCGGGCUCAACUCGAAGUCUGCAUCGAAAACUGCCGGGCUUGAGUAUGGGAGAGGUGAGUGGAAUUUCCGGUGUAGCGGUGAAAUGCGUAGAUAUCGGAAGGAACACCUGUGGCGAAAGCGGCUCACUGGACCAUAACUGACGCUGAUGCACGAAAGCUAGGGGAGCAAACAGGAUUAGAUACCCGGGUAGUCCCUGUCUCUUAUAC